UACGUAGGGGGCUAGCGUUGCUCGGAAUCACUGGGCGUAAAGCGCACGUAGGCGGACUCUUAAGUCGGUGGUGAAAUCCUGGAGCUCAACUCCAGAACUGCCUUCCGAUACUGAGAGUCUUGAGUCCGGGAGAGGUGAGUGGAACUGCGAGUGUAGAGGUGAAAUUCGUAGAUAUUCGCAAGAACACCAGUGGCGAAGGCGGCUCACUGGCUCAUUAUUGACGCUCAGGCGCGAUAGCGUGGGGAUCAAACAGG
rnacentral:rRNA from 1 species